rnacentral:tRNA from 1 species
GGAUUUGUAGCUCAUUGGUUGAGCGCUCGAAGCACAGAUGUUUUGAGAGGUGGUGGUUCGAAUCCGCCCUAAUCCG